rnacentral:misc_RNA from 1 species
GAUGAAGAACGUAGCGAAAUGCGAUACUUGGUGUGAAUUGCAGAAUCCCGUGAACCAUCGAGUCUUUGAACGCAAGUUGCGCCCGAAGCCAUUAGGCCGAGGGCACGCCUGCCUGGGCGUCACACGUCGUUGCCCCCCCAUCUACUCCUUCGGGAUUGCGGGGGGCGGAUGAUGGCCUCUCGUGCGCCUCGUCGCGCGGUUGGCCUAAAUGCCAAGUCCUCGGCGACGCACGCCACGACAAUCGGUGGUUGCGAAACCUCGGUUGCCUGUCGUGUGCGGUCGUCGCGCAUCGAGGGCUCGAAAAAAUUGCCGGGCUUCGGCUCGACUUUCAACGCGACCCCAGGUCAGGCGGGGUUACCCGCUGAAUUUAAGCAUAUCAAUAAGCCGGAGGA